CUGCAUUGCCUUUGACGCUGGAUAAAGGAGGACGUGCUGUGGUAUGUUACGGACUUUUGAACUGGAACAGCUAACGCUCUGCACUUGGCUAGCUGCAUUUACCGCCUAUGCAGCAAAUUUGUCUUCAGGAGCGCUUUUGUGUCUGUCUUGUCUUCUGUGUUUUACUGUUAUGUCCAUGCCAGGGCAGAAGUAAAUUUUCAGGGGUGAAGAUGCUGUUCACCUUGACCAGCUAAGACUACAGAUUGUAGAUGAAGUCGAGAAAAGUGAAAAGAAUCCUGUCCUGAUUACAAAGCUGAUGCACACAACUUUGGCCUUGCGAUGCAAAGAGAUCAUCAAUGAUGACCUACCAGUAGGUCAGAUCCGGGAUUGCUGGCCUACUCUGAAAUUCCAGUCCCAGAUCUGUGCAGAAUUCCACAGGAUUACAAACCUCCACCUGAAGAACCACUUUUAUGCUGUGUUGGACCAACAUGCUCCCCUGCUCCAGAGCUUAUUCAGAAGGAAAGCUGUUUGCACAGGGAACGUGUCUGAUGUCCUGUCUCAGCUCUUCAGAAGCUAGAAUCUCCAGGAACAAGCUGAUAUCCAUGCUCAACGUGCUGGCGUGCUUCAUGCCCUCC